GACGAACGCUGGCGGCGUGCCUAAUACAUGCAAGUAGAACGCUGAAGGAGGAGCUUGCUUCUCUGGAUGAGUUGCGAACGGGUGAGUAACGCGUAGGUAACCUGCCUGGUAGCGGGGGAUAACUAUUGGAAACGAUAGCUAAUACCGCAUAAGAUUGACUAUUGCAUGAUAGUCAGUUAAAAGGUGCAAUUGCAUCACUACCAGAUGGACCUGCGUUGUAUUAGCUAGUUGGUGGGGUAACGGCUCACCAAGGCGACGAUACAUAGCCGACCUGAGAGGGUGAUCGGCCACACUGGGACUGAGACACGGCCCAGACUCCUACGGGAGGCAGCAGUAGGGAAUCUUCGGCAAUGGACGGAAGUCUGACCGAGCAACGCCGCGUGAGUGAAGAAGGUUUUCGGAUCGUAAAGCUCUGUUGUAAGAGAAGAACGAGUGUGAGAGUGGAAAGUUCACACUGUGACGGUAUCUUACCAGAAAGGGACGGCUAACUACGU
rnacentral:rRNA from 1 species